CUCCACUCUAAGUUUCUUUGCAAAUCAGGA
rnacentral:piRNA from 1 species